rnacentral:lncRNA from 1 species
UGACGAUCAUCUCUGACAGUCAACAUGUACAAAACUCUCAUCAUCUACACAUUCUUUUGGCUCACAGGUCUCUGUCUCAGUGUUGAGGUUCACCAGACUCCCUCUGCAGUCUUCAGCAGACCUGGAGAGAAUGUUCAACUCUUCUGCCAACAUCAGAAAACAGACUAUAGAGUGAUGUUGUGGUACCAGAAACCACAAGGAGAAACAGCACUGAAACUCAUUGGAUAUUUGAAUUUUAAUUCUCAAACCAUUGAGAGUUCAUAUGAAAAGCAUUUUAAUAUGAGUGGGGAUUUGGGUGGAGGUGGCCCAAAGAAUGCCUCUCUGAACAUCUUCAACUUGAGACGACCCCAACACAGUGCUGUGUAUUUCUGUGCUGCUAGUAAGGCACAGUGUUGCAGAUUCCCCUGUCUACACUACAAAAACCUUCUCUCAGUCACUGUCUCACUAGAUUAUACUGAAGCAACACCUCCCUCUCACCUGCACUGAGGUCUGGAUUUGAUUCAGUGCCAAUAUAAUAAAACAGUACAGCUGUCUGAUGCCACGCCGCAUUCUGUCAUUACAUCACUGAUGAAGUCACUUCCUGUUCCACCUCUCCAGUCAGUUCAGAUGAGAUGAGAUGUCAGGUGGUUGUCAGCGAACACUAAGGCCCUGUCUAGACUUGACAGUUCAUGCAGCUUUAUUGUUCUGAUCAUAGAGAUCUGAUCAUGGAAUUCCCAACGCGUCAUGCAUCUAAACCUACAUUUAACUGUUUCUACCGUGUCCACUGUGUGUUUGGAUUCCAUUUUCCC